CUGAUAACCCCUGUGGAGUAGCUUCCUGAGUGCUGGGGUCUCUGUGCCCUGCUCCUGGGUCAUUCUCAGCCUACUCGGAGGCGUCAGGGCGGAGGACCACUACCAGCAGUUUUCUUGUGAAGAGUCCUGGCUGCUCUCCAGCAACUGCAUGCAUUUGGCAGUUGCUGGGUCCCACCUCCCCGCAGGCUGCAGGCAGGGAGUCCCUGCCCACGGGCGGCCACUGCUUCUCUGCAAGGUCAGCCCUGUGGGUCCACAGCUCUCCGUCUCCGAGGGGAAGCCAUUUGCUGCACCCAGACUCCUGCCCAGCUCCUGGCCCUGCUGCGAGCUGUGUAGCCAGCCUGUGUGAGCCUCGUUCUCAUACGGUGGGACUGCACUGCCUUGCAGAGGGCUGCGCUGUACGGCCCUACUCACACCACAGGGCCCCGCAGCUUCUCCCGUGUUUGCUGAUCACUUACCGUGCACAGGUGGAGAGCCAGAGUCUACACCGCAGUGGAACGUUAGAGCAGGAGAAGGAAGCAUAGGAGGCCAUGUGACAGGGACAGGGGACAGGUGCUGAGGCGGUAGGCUUGAAGUUGGGCACGGCAGUUCCAGGCACACGACCACUGGACAGUGCUGCUGGCCAUGUGACUUACCUAAUCCCGAC
rnacentral:lncRNA from 1 species